GCGAGGGUGUCGAAGGUGCUGGGGUGCUUGAACGGGACUGACUCCCACGGGUUUCCGCGGGAGUCCAUGCCGCCGCCGCGGGAGUUGGUGUAGAGAAGGCGGUCCUGGUUGCAGCGGCGGAGUUCGGCGGCGCGGUCCAUGAUGUGGUUGAGAUAUUGGUGUAGGAUUAAUGGUUUGUCUUGCUUUCUGACGCGGAGGGUGAAG
rnacentral:misc_RNA from 1 species